CAGAAGCACAUCAGCUGACUUUGUAGGACAGGAUUGGGGGGACCUGACCAUCUUUGUAGGUAAAUGGAAAAGAGCCUGUGGAAAAGAAAAGAAAUAAUCAAGACUCAUGAGAAGGGAAGACUGUUGGAGUAAAGUCCUAGAGGAUGUUAGAAUAAAUUGUUUCAAGGAAAUUCAAAGUCCUUCUAACCUAUGGAGUGAAGCCAAGAGCAGCAGCUAGAGACUUAAGCCUGAAAGGAUGAACUGAACAACAGUUCCAUAGAUGCAAAUAAAGAGGACAAGAAUUAUUAUCCCUGGGUAAAGGACAGAAGAACAGAGGCACACACUGACAUGAACGUGAUUUGUUUGAGGUCACAUGGAAGAUUAGUGAAGAAAAAUCCAAUUCUCCUCCAAUGCC